CAGCCGCCGCGGUAAUACGUAGGUCCCGAGCGUUGUCCGGAUUUAUUGGGCGUAAAGCGAGCGCAGGCGGUUAGAUAAGUCUGAAGUUAAAGGCUGUGGCUUAACCAUAGUACGCUUUGGAAACUGUUUAACUUGAGUGCAAGAGGGGAGAGUGGAAUUCCAUGUGUAGCGGUGAGAUGCGUAGACAUAUGGAGGAACACCGGUGGCGAAAGCGGCUCUCUGGUCUGUCACUGACGCUGAGGCUCGAAAGCGUGGGUAGCGAACAGGAUUAGAUACCCCAGUAGUCCCUGUCUCUUAUACA
rnacentral:rRNA from 1 species